ensembl:snRNA U6 U6 spliceosomal RNA
GCGCUUGCUUCAGCAGCACAUGUACUAAAAUUGGAAUCAUUCAGAGAUUAGCGUGGCCCCAGUGCAAGGAUGACAUGCAAUUUGCAAAAUGUUCCGUAUUUUU